UACGAAGGGUGCAAGCGUUACUCGGAAUUACUGGGCGUAAAGCGUGCGUAGGUGGUUUGUUAAGUCUGUUGUGAAAGCCCCGGGCUCAACCUGGGAAUGGCAAUGGAUACUGGCAGGCUAGAGUGCGGUAGAGGGUAGUGGAAUUCCCGGUGUAGCAGUGAAAUGCGUAGAGAUCGGGAGGAACACCAGUGGCGAAGGCGGCUACCUGGACCAGCACUGACGCUGAUGCACGAAAGCUAGGGGAGCAAACAGG
rnacentral:rRNA from 1 species